rnacentral:misc_RNA from 1 species
GUGGGGCUUCGGCCCCGUCGUGAUAGAACCCUUGCCUUUUUGAGUACCGUCCGUUUCCUCGGCAGGCUCGCCUGCCAAUGGGGACCCAAAACCAAACUCUUUUUAUCAUCUGUAACAGUCUGAAAAACAAACAAAAGUUAAAACUUUCAACAACGGAUCUCUUGGUUCU